GAAAGAUGAAAAGAACUUUGAAAAGAGAGUUAAACAGUACGUGAAAUUGUUGAAAGGGAAACGAUUGAAGUCAGUCGUACCAGCGGGAAAUCAACCUUUCGAGUGGGUUUUUGGAGUUUUGAAGUGUGUCAAAACCUUCGAGAUUUCAAAAUUUUCGCUCUUUUGGUGUACUUUCUCGUAGGUAGGUUAACAUCGAUUUUGAUCAUCAUAAAAAGAUUGGAGGAAUGUAGCUUCGAUCUUGUAUUGAAGUGUUAUA
rnacentral:rRNA from 1 species